rnacentral:piRNA from 7 species
GGUUCAGUGGUAGAAUUCUCGCCU